rnacentral:rRNA from 1 species
UACGUAGGGUGCAAGCGUUGUCCGGAAUUAUUGGGCGUAAAGAGCUCGUAGGCGGCUUGUCGCGUCGUCCGUGAAAACUUGGGGCUCAACCCCAAGCUUGCGGUCGAUACGGGCAGGCUAGAGUUCGGUAGGGGAGACUGGAAUUCCUGGUGUAGCGGUGAAAUGCGCAGAUAUCAGGAGGAACACCGGUGGCGAAGGCGGGUCUCUGGGCCGUUACUGACGCUGAGGAGCGAAAGCGUGGGGAGCGAACAGG